AUUCCGAAGUUGUAUAGUAAGUACUUAUUAGAUGGAGCAAAGGGAAGUCUCUAGGAAUCAUACAAAGCUCCGCGGGAGGACACAAGUUGCUUCAUUUUAUCGCUGAAAUGAUUGAAUAUGUGUGCAAAAAUUGAUUUAGAAGAGAUUUUGACAUCUCUACUUGAUCUAAAUACUGAAAAAUCUCCACUUUUAUUGACGCAGUGAGAGUCUGGAGUUCAACACUAGUUCAUAAUUGGCUGAGAUACUCCCUAUUCUUACUUACCCCUGAAUUAUCUGUUGUUGGCCCUAGACUAGCGCACCGCACAUGUAUGCCUCAGCUGCGUACAUGCUAAUACAACCACUUAGACCUCCCACAUCUGUUCUUGUGAUUCGGGAAACUAGCCAACUGGGGCAUUAUUGGGCACGAUUUGGCAAUGCUUUGAUUUGAUAUCCAGAGAAUAAUCAAAUUUAAAUUCAGAUUCAAAUUCAAAUGAAAUCAAAUCAAAAGGGGGUGCACAUCUCCGCCACCGCCAUGUGUGUUGGGCGUUGUGCGCAUUGCGGCGCUUAGUCGAUUCUGCGAUUAGCAGAACUUACAAAGUACUAGUACAGUGAAAAGCGGCAUGGCGGAGAUGUCUUUGAUCUCCACUUUUUGAAGCUUUGGAUGUCCCAUUUCUGAUAAGUUAGCUUUGGAGAAGUC
rnacentral:sRNA from 2 species